CAGUCUCUGUGGCCAGUCUUCCUGGAUCAACAAGAGCCUUGUAGUUUCCCAUUUUUCAUGUGCUAAUAGUGAAAAUGUUUAGAAAGCCCCAUCUAUCCUCCCACAUUGGCAUCCCACUGAUGUGCUGUCCUGGUUGCUAGGUGCAGAUUUAGGUUCCAAGCAGAACACUGCUAGUGUUCUCUGCAGUUUGUUGUAGAAUCAUAGUGUCUUGGCAACCAAAGGCAGAUCUGGUGCUAUGGAGGACCUGCUUACUGCUAUGAGGUGUUACUUUAUAGAGGUCCUGGAGAAGCUGAUUGAGGCCACGUCAAUGUUGCAAGGAGACAUGAGACUCACAUCAGAGUUCUAUGGCUUAACAUGGGGGAUGGUGGCUGGUGAAAAAAUAUAUAAGAUAAGCCUGGAGGAGAAGGACCAGUAAUACCAGAAAUCAAGGAGGGGCCUUGAAGAGAAAAGGAUAGCAAAAGGAUGAAGACCUGUCCAAGACCCAGCAGCCAGCAUGAAAGAGCUCUCAAUGGGGAAAGCUGGAACAAUUUCAACAACAAAAUAAAUAACAUAUCACUGGAUUAUAAUCUGAAGUAUAAAAAGUAUGAGUCCAUACUGUUAAAUGAUUGAAUAAAUACAUAAAUGGAGAAGAA
rnacentral:lncRNA from 1 species